rnacentral:rRNA from 1 species
UCAAUAAGCGGAGGAAAAGAAACUAACAAGGAUUCCCCUAGUAACUGCGAGUGAAGCGGGAAAAGCUCAAAUUUAAAAUCUGGCGGUCUCUGGCCGUCCGAGUUGUAAUCUAGAGAAGUGAUGCCCGCGCUGGACCGUGUACAAGUCUCCUGGAAUGGAGCGUCAUAGAGGGUGAGAAUCCCGUCUCUGACACGGACUACCAGGGCUUUGUGGUACGCUCUCAAAGAGUCGAGUUGUUUGGGAAUGCAGCUCUAAAUGGGUGGUAAAUUCCAUCUAAAGCUAAAUAUUGGCGAGAGACCGAUAGCGAACAAGUACCGUGAGGGAAAGAUGAAAAGAACUUUGGAAAGAGAGUUAAACAGUACGUGAAAUUGCUGAAAGGGAAACGCUUGAAGUCAGUCGCGUUGACCAGGACUCAGCCUCGCUCUUGCGUGGUGUACUUUCUGGUUGACGGGUCAGCAUCAAUUUUGACUGCUGGAAAAAGGCUUAGGGAAUGUGGCAGCUUCGGCUGUGUUAUAGCCCUUGGUCACAUACAGCGGUUGGGAUUGAGGAACUCAGCACGCCGCAAGGCCGGGUUUCGACCACGUUCGUGCUUAGGAUGCUGGCAUAAUGGCUUUAAGCGACCCGUCUUGAAACACGGACCAAGGAGUCUAACAUGCCUGCGAGUGUUUGGGUGGUAAACCCGAGCGCGUAAUGAAAGUGAAAGUUGAGAUCCCUGUCGUGGGGAGCAUCGACGCCCGGACCUGAACUUUUGUGACGGAUCCGCGGUAGAGCAUGUAUGUUGGGACCCGAAAGAUGGUGAACUAUGCCUGAAUAGGGUGAAGCCAGAGGAAACUCUGGUGGAGGCUCGUAGCGAUUCUGACGUGCAAAUCGAUCGUCAAAUUUGGGUAUAGGGGCGAAAGACUAAUCGAAACCAUCUAGCAGCUG